AUUGAACGCUGGCGGCAGGCCCAACACAUGCAAGUCGAGCGGAUGAAGGGAGCUUGCUCCUGGAUUCAGCGGCGGACGGGUGAGUAAUGCCUAGGAAUCUGCCUGGUAGUGGGGGAUAACGUCCGGAAACGGGCGCUAAUACCGCAUACGUCCUGAGGGAGAAAGUGGGGGAUCUUCGGACCUCACGCUAUCAGAUGAGCCUAGGUCGGAUUGGCUAGUUGGUGGGGUAAAGGCCUACCAAGGCGACGAUCCGUAACUGGUCUGAGAGGAUGAUCAGUCACACUGGAACUGAGACACGGUCCAGACUCCUACGGGAGGCAGCAGUGGGGAAUAUUGGACAAUGGGCGAAAGCCUGAUCCAGCCAUGCCGCGUGUGUGAAGAAGGUCUUCGGAUUGUAAAGCACUUUAAGUUGGGAGGAAGGGCAGUAAGUUAAUACCUUGCUGUUUUGACGUUACCAACAGAAUAAGCACCGGCUAACUUCGUG
rnacentral:rRNA from 1 species